rnacentral:rRNA from 1 species
AUGGCUUCCGCGGCCCCCACGAGCGUGUGCCCCAUCGCGUCCGUCUCCGGGCGCUCGUCGCCGGCGAGCCACCGUGCCGUGAGGUGCUGGAGCGCGAGGAGGGGGAGGCGCCGGAGGUCGGCGGGGCUGAGGGCGAGGUGCGCGGGCGGCCAGCCCUCCGCCGUGAAGCCCGGCCCGGAGACCCCCGCGGACGACGGGUCGGUCGGGGACGAGGAGCAGCCGCACCCGCAGUUCGACCUCAACCUCGCCGUCGUGCUCGCCGGCUUCGCGUUCGAAGCCUACAGCACCCCACCCGCAGACGCGGGCUGGCGCGAGACGGACACGGCCGAGUGUCAGACGGUGUUCCUAUCCGAUGUGUUUCUCCGUGAAGUAUACGAUGGCCAACUAGUCGUUAGGCUGAAGAAAGGCAACAAUCUUCCUGCAAUGGAUCCAUGGGGUACAAGUGAUCCUUAUGUAGUUCUACAACUUAAUGGUCAAACUGCAAAGAGCCAAAUUAAAUGGGGGACGAAGGAGCCAACCUGGAAUCAAGAUUUCACAUUUAAUAUUAGGACAUCUCUAGAAAAUCUACUCCAGAUUGAGGCUUGGGAUGCAAACCUUAUCACCCCACACAAACGAAUGGGAAAUGCUGGAUUGUAUCUUGAAACACUUUGCGAUGGAAAUAAACAUGACAUCACUGUCGAAUUAGAAGGCCUUGGUGCUGAUGGUGGUGGAACUAUUGAUUUGGAGGUCAAAUACAAGAGUUAUGAUGACAUUGAGCGUGAUAAACAAUGGUGGAGAACGCCUUUUGUGUCUGACUUUCUUGAAAAGAGCAGCCUAGGAUCUGCUCUUAGGACGGUCCUUGGAUCUGAGACUGUAAAUGCAAGCCAGUUUGUGCAAUCUGCAUUUGGGCAACUGAGUUCUUUCACUGACACAAACCUUCUAAAGCCAUCGUCUUCUGAUAGUGAAGCUGAGGUUUCUGAAAGGCCUGGAGAAUCCAUGGAUAACUCUAUUGGUUCAGAUGAACUGCAACAACAGAAGAUUGAUUCGAUAGCUUUUGGAGAAAACUCAGAUUCCCAAAGUGAACCUGUAGACACUGCUGCCGUUGUUAACAGUGAGGGAAACACAUCAACCGAUAUGAAGGAACCUGACGAGUACUUCUGGAGUGCUUUCACCAAAACACUCAACCAAAAUGUUCUUAAGAACUUUGGAUAUUCUCUUCCAGAGGCCAAGCAAUUGGAUGGAUUUGACCUGCUAAGUUCACUUGGAUCAAAAUCACGUGAAAUGGCUGAACAGCUAUAUUUAGAAUCUGGACUGGCGACAGCAGAUGCAUCAACCAGUGAUGGCAGCGAAACAACUCCUGAACAUACAGUCAAUGCUGACAAUGAAGAUAGCACAACGCCAGCUAAAGAGGCAGUGCAGGCUUCCUUUCCAGACAUUAAUGAAGUAUCUCGGGAUGUAUUGUCUCAAACAGAGAACGUACUAGGAGCUUUGGUGAUUCUUUCUAAGAACUUCUCAUCUCAAGGCAAGGAUUCAGUAGAUGAAGCAAACCGGAAAGAUAAUUCAAACGCAGAAGAACAAGGUGCUGCAGGUUCUGUUGAUGAGGAUGGUGCUCCUGUUGCAUCCACCGAAGUGUCCAUAAAUACACAGAAAACAGAAGACACACGUCAACUGUUUGCAAGUGCCGAGACUGCUGUGGAGGCAUGGGCUAUGCUUGCCACUUCAAUGGGGCGUUCCAGUUUUAUAAAAUCAGACUUUGAGAAGAUAUGUUUUCUGGAUAAUGUUUCAACUGACACACAGGUUGCCAUUUGGCGUGAUUCUUCACGAAGAAGACUGGUUGUUGCCUUUCGAGGAACUGAGCAAACAAGGUGGAAGGAUUUGGUAACUGACUUGAUGCUUGUCCCUGCUGGACUAAACCCUGAGAGGCUGGGUGGUGACUUCAAACAAGAACUUCAAGUUCACAGUGGAUUCUUAAGCGCAUAUGACUCUGUCAGGAAUAGGAUCAUGGCUCUUGUCAGACAUGCCAUCGGAUAUAUGGAUGAAGAAGAUGCAGAAACCAUACCUAGGUGGCACAUCUACGUAACUGGACAUAGUUUAGGUGGAGCACUGGCAACCCUUCUCGCUCUUGAACUUUCAUCAAGUCAAAUGGCCAAGAAUGGUGUUAUAUUCGUGACAGUGUACAAUUUUGGCUCUCCUAGAGUUGGAAAUAGAAGGUUUGCUGAUGUCUACAAUGCGAAAGUAAAAGAUAGCUGGAGAGUUGUCAAUCACCGAGAUAUCAUUCCAACAGUGCCGCGUCUUAUGGGCUAUUGCCAUGUGGAAACACCAGUUUAUCUUAAAUGUGGAGAUCUAACAGAUGCACUGGCGAAGGAAAUUUUAGAUGAAGACCAAGGUGAUGAGAUAGGCGAGUACACCCCUGACGUGCUUGUUAGUGAAUUUAUGAAAGGAGAGACACAGCUUGUGGAAAAACUACUCCAGACGGAGAUAAAUCUACUUCGCUCAAUCAGGGAUGGCUCGGCCCUUAUGCAGCACAUGGAAGACUUUUACUACGUCACACUUCUAGAGACUGUGAGAUCAAGGUACCAAUUGGUUGAUGAUGCAAGCCAAGAAUAG